rnacentral:rRNA from 1 species
GGGAGGAGGACCAGGCAAAUCCGGGCCUCACAUACUCUGAGACGUGAUACCGAGCCGCUUCAGGCGAAGUCAUUAAUCCUAUGCUGCCUAGAAAAGCCCAGUAGCGAGUUGACAUGGUGCCCGUACCCCAAACCAACACAGGUGGACAGGUAGAGCAUACCAAGGCGAGUGGGAUAACUAUGGUUAAGGAACUCGGCAAAUUUCCUCCGUAACUUCGGGAUAAGGAGGACCCCAGUAGCGUGACGAGACUUGCUCUCCGAGCGUGAAGGGGUGGCACAAAAUUGAGGGAAGCGACUGUUUACCAAAAACACAGCAGCGUGCUAAGCCGUAAGGCGCUGUAUACGCUGUGACUCCUGCCCGGUGCUGGAAGGUUACGGGGAUGGGUUAGUCCUUCGGGACGAAGCUCUGAACCUAAGCCCCAGUAAACGGCGGCCGUAACUAUAACGGUCCUAAGGUAGCGAAAUUCCUUGUCGGGUAAGUUCCGACCUGCACGAAUGGAGUAACGACUUCCCUACUGUCUCAACCAUAGACCCAGCGAAAUUGAAGUACGAGUAAAGAUGCUCGUUAGCUGCAGAAGGACGGAAAGACCCCGUGGACCUUUACUAUAACUUGAUGUUGUGUUUUGUCAUAUGUUGUGUAGGAUAGGUAGGAGACAAGGAAGCAUGGACGCUAGUCUGUGUGGAGUCAUCGUUGAAAUACCACCCUGCAUAUGGUGAGGCUCUAACCUAGACCCGUUAUCCGGGUUGGGGACAGCGUCAGGCGGGUAGUUUAACUGGGGCGGUUGCCUCCUAAAGAGUAACGGAGGCGCCCAAAGGUUCCCUCAGCCUGGUUGGCAAUCAGGCGUCGAGUGCAAUGGCAAAAGGGAGCUUGACUGCGAGACCUACAAGUCGAGCAGGAGCGAAAGCUGGGCAUAGUGAUCCGGCGGUUGCGUGUGGAAGCGCCGUCGCUCAACGGAUAAAAGGUACCCCGGGGAUAACAGGCUAAUCUUGCCCAAGCGUCCAUAGCGACGGCAAGGUUUGGCACCUCGAUGUCGGCUCAUCGCAUCCUGGGGCUGAAGCAGGUCCCAAGGGUUGGGCUGUUCGCCCAUUAAAGCGGUACGCGAGCUGGGUUCAGAACGUCGUGAGACAGUUCGGUCCCUAUCCUCUGUAGCCGUAGGUGAAUUGAGGAAAGCUGUCCCUAGUACGAGAGGACCGGGACGGACGCAGCUCUCGUGUGCCAGUUGUCCUGCCAAGGGCAUGGCUGGUUAGCGACCUGCGGAAAGGAUAACCGCUGAAAGCAUCUAAGCGGGAAGCCUCUUCCGAGAUGAAUUCACCCACAGGGUUAACCUGGUAAGGCCCGUGGUAGACCACCACGUUGAUAGGCCGGAAGU